GACGAACGCUGGCGGCGUGCUUAACACUUGCAAGUCGAACGGAAAGGCCCUGCUUUUGUGGGGUGCUCGAGUGGCGAACGGGUGAGUAACACGUGAGUAACCUGCCCUUGACUUUGGGAUAACUUCAGGAAACUGGGGCUAAUACCGGAUAGGAGCUCCUGCUGCAUGGUGGGGGUUGGAAAGUUUCGGCGGUUGGGGAUGGACUCGCGGCUUAUCAGCUUGUUGGUGGGGUAGUGGCUUACCAAGGCUUUGACGGGUAGCCGGCCUGAGAGGGUGACCGGCCACAUUGGGACUGAGAUACGGCCCAGACUCCUACGGGAGGCAGCAGUGGGGAAUAUUGCACAAUGGGCGGAAGCCUGAUGCAGCAACGCCGCGUGCGGGAGGACGGCCUUCGGGUUGUAAACCGCUUUCGCCUGUGACGAAGCGUGAGUGACGGUAAUGGGUAAAGAAGCACCGGCUAACUACGU
rnacentral:rRNA from 1 species